GCCGGGCGUGGUGGCGCACGCCUGUAAUCCCAGCUACUCAGGAGGCUGAGGCAGGAGAAUUGCUUGAACCCAGGAGGCAGAGGUGGCAGUGAGCCGAGAUCGCGCCACUGCACUCCAGCCUGGGUGAGAGAGCGAGACUCCAUCUCAA
rnacentral:SRP_RNA from 1 species